AUGGCCAACCGCGACCGGUUGUUCGACCUCCCCGACUACCUCCUCCGGUGCAUCCUCCGCUUCGCCCCAGCCAAGGAGGCCGCCUCCACGACCGCGCGCUCGCGGCGCUGGCGCACGCCGCUCUGGCGCUCCUCGGGCGCCGUAAACUUCCAGACGCGCGUCCAGGACUACGAGUACCGCGACCGCUAUGGCGGUUAUCGUGAAGAACACAAGGCCCUCUUCUUCUCCCGCCGCGACGCCUUCCUCUCCACGGCCGUGGCGGCGCUCGACGGCGCCCAGCACGUCACGAGGCUCACCUUGCGCCUCGAGUCCGAGCGCGAGCGCGACAAACCGAAAGUCAUCGACGUCGCGCCGACACUCACCGUGGUCCGCCUUGAGUCCGUCCUUAUCAAAGUGACAGACGACGCGACUUCACAAUGCGACGCCGCCCCGGAUUGGGGCUACGACGGUCUCCCGGCCCCCAAACAGGCUGCACGCUGCCGCCUCCGAUGCCCAGCAGCCAUUGUGCUCGCGCUCGAGGGCUGCAAGUGGGAGGAGGAUGAGAACCUGAGGCGCCGCCGUCACCACGGAUACUACGCCGAUGACAAGACCACACCCCUCAUCGCGGUGGAGAUCGACUCACCGAGGCUGCGUCGCUUCCGGUACAUGGGGCUUCUCCGGCCAUUCACAUUCAAUCCACAGCCACCGAAGUUGGACCAGGUGCACCUGCAUUUUUUCCCGGGAAAAAAGAGGAACAUGGAUCCAUGCGGCAACCUUGAAACCUUCUGGCGAUUCAUUGGGAGCUUCACCAGCACCAAGAAGAUGAAUCUACGGCUGAACCACCUUGAGGAUGUGGCCGUGCUCAACGAGGCGAGGCGGGUCGAGCUCCUGCCGGCCCUCCGCCGCCUUGAGUACCUCGAGCUGGAAGGGGUGCAUAGGGGGAGAGGCAAGACAGCGGCGGCAGCCAUCACAAACCUGCUCCGCUGUAGCAAUGCACUCCGUGACCUCAGGAUCAACCUCACCACGGAUAACGAGGAUGCCUACAAACAAGAAUGGUACAUUACUGAAUUCUUGGAGUGGAAAUUUCAACACGACCGCAACAAGUCCAUGGAUCGUUUCGACCGUUGUGACGAUUCCUUUUCUACGGAAGGAGAUGGAGAAACCAUCAGUGUUGCCUAUGACGAUGUACCUGAAAUCCCAGGCUUGAGCCGACGCUCCUUCGAAUGCUUGCAGAGCUCGCUGAGGAGAGUGGCCUUGCAAUUCUGGCCGGAGAUGUCCAACUGUCUCGGUAUGAAGCUCGUCAAAUUCUUCGCUAAGAAUGCAACGGUUCUUGAAGAAAUGCACAUCGAUGCUGGAAACGGAAAGUUAUGCGAGCAUGUGAAUCACAAGAUUGAAACAUGGAUCACCCAUUCAUCCAAAAGCAGAAAGUUAGGAGGCCCACGCUUUAUGAUCUUACCCCUCAAGAGAUGA
rnacentral:rRNA from 1 species